UUAAACUCUAGCAUGGAAGGUAUCUUUAUCCUUGAUGUGGACUCACUGUGUCAACUUGCCGACGAGCUCGAGGAAUACUUCGCUUACUGUGCGGCACUAUCCGAGUAUAUGGAAAACAUUACCAAACACAACAAACAAAUCACCAUGGUUAUAGAAGAUAUACCUGUCCCCAUGUAUGUUCUCAA